GUGGGGAAUCUUCCGCAAUGGACGAAAGUCUGACGGAGCAACGCCGCGUGAGUGAUGAAGGUCUUCGGAUUGUAAAGCUCUGUUAAUCGGGACGAAAGAGCCUAGUGUGAAUAAUGCUAGGAAGUGACGGUACCGGAAUAGAAAGCCACGGCUAACUACGUGCCAGCAGCCGCGGUAAUACGUAGGUGGCAAGCGUUGUCCGGAAUUAUUGGGCGUAAAGCGCGCGCAGGCGGAUCUGCCAGUCUGUCUUAAAAGUUCGGGGCUUAACCCCGUGAUGGGAUGGAAACUACAGAUCUAGAGUAUCGGAGAGGAAAGUGGAAUUCCUAGUGUAGCGGUGAAAUGCGUAGAUAUUAGGAAGAACACCAGUGGCGAAGGCGACUUUCUGGACUGUAACUGACGCUGAGGCUCGAAAGCCAGGGGAGCGAACGGGAUUAGAUACCCUAGUAGUCC
rnacentral:rRNA from 1 species